UACGUAGGGGGCGAGCGUUGUCCGGAUUCAUUGGGCGUAAAGCGCUUUAAGGCGGUUCGUUAAGUCGGGUGUGAAACCUCCAGGCUCAACCUGGAGACGCCACUCGAUACUGCUGUGACUAGAGUUCGGUAGGGGAUCACGGAAUUCCUGGUGUAGCGGUGAAAUGCGCAGAUAUCAGGAGGAACACCGGUGGCGAAGGCGGUGAUCUGGGCCGACACUGACGCUGUAGAGCGAAAGCGUGGGGAGCGAACAGG
rnacentral:rRNA from 1 species